rnacentral:rRNA from 1 species
UUCUAAUAGAUUUAAUUAUUAGUAAAAUCUGCUCAAUGAAACUUAAAUAGCCGCAAUUACUCUGUGCUAAGGUAGCAUAAUCAUUUGCCUUUUAAUUAAAGGCUAGAACGAAAGAUUUAACAUUUAAAUUUCUAUUAAAUAAUAUUAUUUAAAUUUAUUUUAAGUAUAAAAAAAUACUUAUUCAUAAAAAAGACGAUAAGACCCUAUUGAACUUUACUAAUGUUUAACUGGGGAAGUUAAUUAAAUAUAAUUUUAAUUAAAUAUUAAAAAUUAAUAAUCCGGAAAAUCCGAUUUAUAAUCAAGUUACCAUAGGGAUAACAGCGUAAUAAUUUUUCAAAGAUCUUAUUUAAAAAAUAGAUUACGACCUCGAUGUUGAAUAAUUACUCUAUUAAAUGCAACCAUUUAAAAAGAAAGUCUGUUCGACUUUUAAUAAAUUACA